rnacentral:misc_RNA from 1 species
AAGUCGUAACAAGGUCUCCGUAGGUGAACCUGCGGAGGGAUCAUUAACACGUUCCAAAACAACAAGAAACCGUGGUUUCCCCCUCCCUAUUGGGUGCGCCGUCUUCGAUAGACCAGCUAGUGGUAAGUCUGAGCAAUUGGACUUAGGUCUUCGAGGCGAGGGUUUGGUCCCAAAAAGCGUGCUCUGAUAGGCCAAUUCACAGCCAUUACGUGCUGUGACCUUUGCCUUCCACCUGCGGCUUUAACCCCUUUAAUCUAGUUGACUGAUGUGUCGAAUGGAGAAAUCCUGUCUGACUUUAAACCAACUAAGUACAACUCUUAGCAAUGGAUAUCUAGGUUCUC